rnacentral:rRNA from 1 species
UACGUAGGGUGCGAGCGUUAAUCGGAAUUACUGGGCGUAAAGCGCGUGUAGGCGGCCAGAAAAGUCCGCUGUGAAAACUCGAGGCUCAACUUCGAGCUGUCGGUGGAAACUUUCUGGCUAGAGUCCGGAAGAGGAGAAUGGAAUUCCUGGUGUAGCGGUGAAAUGCGCAGAUAUCAGGAAGAACACCCGUGGCGAAGGCGGUUCUCUGGGACGGUACUGACGCUGAGACGCGAAAGCGUGGGGAGCGAACAGG